AACGCACGAGACCUGCGGACCUGCGGAAGGAUCAUUACUGAGUUUCACAACUCUCUAACCCUGUGUGAACUGAAGUCUGGUUGCUCAGGCAGGCGGCCCCCGGGGGGAGCCGCAGCUUCUCUGAAGCGCCUGCCGGAGGAUACCUAAACUCGUUUUAACAUAUAAUCUUCUGAGUAAUAAAAAAAAUGAAUCAAAACUUUCAACAACGGAUCUCU
rnacentral:misc_RNA from 1 species